rnacentral:rRNA from 1 species
ACGUAGGGGGCAAGCGUUAUCCGGAAUAAUUGGGCGUAAAGAGCGCGUAGGUGGCUUAUUAAGCGAGAGGUGAAAGGCAAGAGCUUAACUAUUGUAAGCCUUGCGAACUGGUAGACUUGAGUGCAGGAGAGGCAAGUGGAAUUCCUAGUGUAGCGGUGAAAUGCGUAGAUAUUAGGAGGAACACCAGUGGCGAAGGCGACUUGCUGGACUGUAACUGACAUUGAGGCACGAAAGCGAGGGGAGCAAACAG